CUCGCGCGAGCGGCUCCUGAGGGGACUGGCUCGGGGCUCGGGGCGGGCCAUGGCGCCGCGCGGCGGAGCGGGGCCCCGGGCCCUGCUGCUGCUGCUGCUGGCGACGGCGCUGGCGGGCGAGGCGGCGGCGGGGGCCGCCGCGGCGGCGCUGGAGGAGGAGAUCGUGUCGGAGCGGGCGGCCGAGCAGAGCCACCGGCAGGACAGCGCCAACCUCGUCAUCUUCAUCCUGCUGCUCACCCUCACCAUCCUCACCAUCUGGCUCUUCAAGCACCGCCGCGCGCGCUUCCUGCACGAGACCGGCCUGGCCAUGAUCUACGGUGUCCUGGUGGGUGUCAUCCUUCGCUAUGGAAUCCACGUUCCCAGUGAUGUUAACAACGUGACCCUAAGUUGCCAAGUGCAGACCAGCCCAGCCACGCUGUUAGUGAACGUUAGUGGGAAGUAUUACGAGUAUACCCUGAAAGGAGAAAUCAGUCCCCAGGAGCUCAAUAAUGUCCAGGAUAAUGAAAUGCUGAGAAAGGUGACAUUUGACCCUGAAGUAUUUUUCAAUAUCUUGCUCCCUCCAAUUAUAUUUUAUGCAGGAUACAGCUUAAAAAGGAGGCAUUUCUUUAGAAACCUGGGGUCAAUCCUAGCAUAUGCCUUUCUUGGAACUGCAAUAUCCUGUCUUAUGAUAGGCUCCAUCAUGUAUGGCUGCGUAGCCCUGAUGAAAGUCACUGGACAGCUUGGAGGGGAUUUUUACUUUACUGACUGUCUCUUAUUUGGUGCCAUCGUAUCAGCCACUGACCCAGUGACUGUUCUUGCCAUAUUCCAUGAACUUCAGGUUGAUGUUGAGCUGUAUGCCCUUCUCUUUGGCGAAAGUGUCCUCAAUGAUGCCGUUGCCAUAGUGCUGUCUUCUUCGAUCGUAGCAUACCAGCCAGCAGGUGACAACAGCCACACAUUUGACGUCAUGGCAAUGCUCAAGUCGAUUGGGAUCUUCCUUGGGAUAUUCAGUGGAUCCUUUGCGAUGGGAGCAGCUACUGGAGUAGUCACUGCUUUAGUCACCAAGUUCACGAAACUCCGCGAGUUCCCGUUGCUGGAAACAGGGUUGUUUUUCUUGAUGUCUUGGAGCACGUUCCUGCUGGCUGAAGCAUGUGGUUUUACAGGUGUGGUAGCAGUACUGUUCUGUGGGAUCACACAAGCCCACUACACGUAUAACAACUUGUCUACUGAGUCCCAGCAUAGAACUAAACAGUUGUUUGAGCUUCUGAAUUUCUUGGCAGAAAACUUCAUCUUCUCCUACAUGGGGCUCGCAUUGUUCACCUUCCAGAAUCACGUCUUUAACGCCACUUUUGUAGUAGGGGCUUUUCUUGCCAUCUUCCUGGGAAGAGCUGCUAACAUUUACCCUCUGUCCAUGUUGCUUAAUUUGGGUAGAAGAAACAAGAUUGGAACAAAUAUCCAGCACAUGAUGAUGUUUGCUGGGCUGCGAGGAGCCAUGGCCUUUGCCUUGGCUAUUCGAGACACCGCUACCUACGCUAGACAGAUGAUGUUCAGCACAACGCUUCUCAUAGUGUUCUUCACUGUCUGGGUUUUUGGUGGUGGCACCACAGCCAUGUUAUCAUGCCUGAAUAUUAGAGUCGGAGUGGAUGCAGAUCAAGAAAACUUAGGGGUCCCGGAGAACGAGAGGAGGAGUACGAAAGCGGAAAGUGCCUGGCUGUUUAGGAUGUGGUACAACUUCGACCAUAACUAUUUAAAGCCUCUUUUGACACACAGUGGUCCUCCUCUCACAACUACGCUUCCUAGUUGUUGUGGACCUAUUGCCAGAUGCUUGACAAGUCCUCAGGCCUAUGAAAAUCAAGAGCAGCUGAAGGACGAUGAUUCUGAUCUUAUUUUGAACGACGGAGACAUCAGUUUGACAUACGGGGAUUCUACCGUGAACACUGAUUCUGUAACAUCUAGUGGUGCUUCACGGAGGUUUGCUGGAAACAGCUCUGAAGAAGCACUGGAUCGGGAGCUCGCUUUUGGGGAUCAUGAACUUGUAAUACGGGGAACACGCCUGGUUCUUCCCAUGGAUGAUUCUGAACCUCCAUCAAAUGUGCUCGAUAGUGCAAGACAUGGCCCAGCGAGCUGUACAAAGCCAGAGCAAAAGGACCAUCUCUUCCCUGGAGACUCAGCAAUCUUCAUAUAAAAGAGGAGGCGAUGAAGGAAUACAAUGGGCAGAUGCAGGGAGCAUGAGGACAUAAUGCGAUGGUACUGGUGACAUGGCAGCAAGGAGGCCUCUGUUUGACAUUUUCUGGACCUUGGUGAUUUCUGUCUGAGGUGCUGCAUCCACCCAUGUGUAAAACUGACUACAGACAAGCUAGUGCAGUCUCAAACCACAGACAAGAACUGCUUGCCAAGAGUCAGCUUUGCUCCAGACAUCUGCACCACUGAAACCCACGUGCAAAUUUGACCCAAACAUCCUCAAGGCAGCGUUGUUUUAUUAAAGAAACGUAUUCAGUUGAACAGUGACUGUCACACAGCUGCGCUACCUGAUUUGCACAAAUCAUAACAAAUGCAAACACAAAUUGUAUAAUUUACUCCACAUAAAAUUGUUCAAGCUAUUUAGAAGCUGAAACAUGGUUGAAAGAGCUGUUGUUCAAAGAACAAGACAUGGGGGAGGGAGGAGGGUACUUGACAGCUAACACCUGGUGGUGCACACAGCAUUUACCACUAUCGAUGAGGGGUUGGUUGGUUGCUUAAGAUGCUGUGUAAUGGGCACAGGCAAGCUGUGCGGGCUAUAAUGAUGACAGAGUGGAGUAAUAACAAAGACAUUUCCAUGUGGAUCCAAUAAAUUUUGUCACGGCCCUUUGAUAAAAAGUAACAUUGUUACUGAUGGGGUAAUGAUGGGUUAACAUCAUUAAUUUGUGCUUCUGUAAUGAAAACCAGGGUCAUUAUGAGUUUCUCAGGAGAAGCAAGUGCCGUUUUCUUCAGAUCCCUUCCUCUUGCUGGAGAGAGCGGUGUAUUAUUUCUUUUCUUGUCCUUGCUCUAAGAAGAAUUCUUACGGUGGUGGGUAAGAGGAGGUAAGAAGUUGCUGCACCAUGAACGCUUGAAUGGUCUGUGUAGUAACACCCCGACACGCACCUUAAACAGCUGGUCUGUGCUGAACUUUUAUUCACAACAGCUAUUUGUAUAUAAAAGCCAGUGCAAACACGGAAUCAGCUUCACAGUAGAAAGAGCACUUUAGCAGUAGUUUUUUCUCGCAGUUCCUCAAAAGAGCCCAACACCAUCCGUCCCUUCCCCAAACGUUCCAACUCCACAGAAGUUCAUGUUAACAAUAUCAUAUAAACUUGGUUUAAAAAAAACUUGUCCAAGCCUCGUAGGGCUAAUGCUGGAUUUUACCAGCUGCAUCUUUAUGCAGAACACAUGUUCAUACAGUGCUGUUCCCCUACUCUGUGGACUCUCUGGAGAGAGUCAUGAAAUAUUGAAAAAGAAAAAAAGAAAAAAAAAGCUUCUGUUCUGAAUCAGAUUUAUUGGAUAUUUUGAGGUCUUGCCUGCCUUCAGUUCCUCCAGCCCAUCUGUCCUGCUUUGAUGAUGCAGUAACACAAAGUAACCCUGCAAAUGUGCAAGGACUUUCCAACAUGAAGAAGUUGCUGGGAGAUAAGGUAAGGGGUGACCUUAAUGCACAGUAGCCGUUCUGUCCUUGUGGGUGCCUCUGUCUCAGACAGAGGUUGUCUAUGUACAUUUUAGCCUGGUUCAUCUUGAAAGCAGAUGAACCUGAGCUACCCAAAGGCACUUGAAGUCCGGAGCAAGGAUGUCCACGUAGGGAACAAGUGCGUGGUAGCAUUCUGUACUAGCUGCCCUGGGCUGGCUCCACAUUCGGGCCUACUUUAUAACAGGCAAAUUCUUAUUCAUUGCAGAUCUCACUCGGGGUGGGGAGGAGAACUGCAGGACCAGGAGGGGAAUAAAUUCCUGCAGGAUGAUAGGUUUUCUCCCUCUCACCCUCAAAACACACCUUGGUAUCUGCUUUCCCCUGGCAGUUGCUCUACAGGCUGAGUUGCACUAGUGUAUCCUCAGAUGUCAUUUAAACCGCUUUAGGGAAGAGUGUCGGGACAACCUUCUGCACCAACGCACUUCAUUUUGAAUCGGGCUGCUUUCACUUGAGUGGCAGCUGGUUAGGAACAGAGUUAAGUUAAACUGGUACCUCACUCCUCCCAGAAUUGGAGCAGUUUGCAUCAUAGAUUCAUAGAUGUUAGGGUUGGGACCUCAGUAGGUCAUCAGUUUAACUAAACUGGUGUAACUAAAUGUGUGUAAACUCGCAUGUGCACAGACAGUCUCAAGGUUCCUCAGGCCACUUAGUACUGCGUUUUAAUCCUUGAACACACUAAUGGUUCUUACAGUGCAGUUCUUGCUUCCCUGCUGCCCUGAAAUCUGGGGCACAAUUGGGGCAUUGCCAGCCUCGCACAGCACUCUCUGCCACUGUCUAAGUGCACUUCAUGCGGGGCCUGCCAGAAGCUAAACCCUGCACCAGCUGAAGGUCUGCAAAUGGGCCAAAGAUCAUUAUGCUGUGUAACAAGCCUGCACUGUGUGCUCAGCCCAUGCUAGUACCAUCCCUGCUGCUUGCUCUAGAUGGUGCUCUUACAAAAGAGGCCUGGCGUUGUGAGCUCUCCCUCCUUUUAUACCUGGGACGUUUCACUUCGGGUGCCCUGCUCUGCUGGGAGGCAAGCAGUGAAGCAAGAGAGCUGCCUUCUGAAAUCAGGGAGGCAACAGUGAUGCUGCCCCGGGCUGAAGCCAUUUCCCAGCAAACACUGUCCCCUCCGUACUGCAGACAUUAUGGGAGCAGCAUUGGCUGUGCUGUAUUCUCUGUGCAGCUCAGAUAGGUGUUAAUCUUAUUUCAGUCAGCUGUUCCUCCUGGCCUCACCUUUGUGAUUGCUUUUACCUUCCAACUCGGAAACCCAUCCAUCAAAAUCUGACAUGCAUUUCCAUGCUCACUCUCCCUGCUUUUUAGGGGUCUGGCAUUGCAUUGAUUACACUGGGGAAAGGAGGCAGGUGCAGCAUUGCAGCCUGGCUCUGGUUAUUUCUGGUGGUGUUGCCUCUAUCUACCUGUCUCUGAGGGUUUGACUGAACUUGGAUCAGCACCAGCAGUAUUUCAUCCCACCUUAUUCCUGUUUGGACUUCCUUGCCUUACCUCUCACGUGGCCUCCUCGCUUGUUAAGCUGCUUCAUUAAUCAGUGCUUUUUCUUUUAGCCAACAGAUAUUUUUAGAAACCUGAAGGGCAGUGACAAGCUAAGUGUAUAACUGAUUUCAGUUGCCUUGGUGGGAUGUUCAUUCCCACUUGGUGGGAGGCAAAUUGUGCUCCCUCUGGAGCAGCUGACCAAGUCAUGGAUGUUGAAAAACUCACCCUGAACCAGAAGUUUGUGCAAGUACCAUUUUUCUCCAAGGUUUUUACCUCCAUUUUUCUCCAGGUUUUCCCACAGAUCCGCUUUACUGAGAUGCCUCGCUCUGACCAUUUUCCAGGGUGCAAUCUUGAAACAACCAAACAAUUAGGAAAUUGCUCUGUGGCAUUAAGCUCCUUCCUUCCUUUGAACCUCCUUCCUCCUCUGUAAGUGUGCUUUGGAUAACAUCUCAGAGACCCGGUAGCACGGGUCAUUAAUCUAAUAAUUAGCAGCAUCACCUGGGGCACCCUAAGCAAACUGCCUGAGUGAAAAGGGUAGGCUUUCACAUGGUAAGGGUGUGUUUAAACCCUCAGUCUUAAUCAUCAAAAGGCUGGUCUGCACUUUCAAGUCUUGAAGGCCUAGCAACGCUGACUUGCAUGUGAAAAGAUCAUACCCUAGUCCGGACACAUAUGUGCAGACAGAAGAAGCUUCUGCCAGGUAAGCUACUGUGGUUUGUGGGGAGGUGAUAUAUAAAAACUCUGCUAGAAGAAAACACUUGUCAGCCAGCAUGUGCUAAGGGGCUCUUCUGGCUUAGCAAUAGGCAGCAGCUCUGUGCCGUGGACAAGCCCAGAGGUAGCCAUCUCGGAUCCCAUAACAUGGCAGAAAAAUCGCCCUGCCGUAGUUCAUGAGACACGCUGCACACAAGUGAAAAGGACUGUAGGAUUUGCAUCACAGAAUGCUGCUCUCUGGGCAUUUUGAGGUUGGAGGGGCUGUUGGCAGCAUUGAAGGGGUCUUUUCCUCUCUCUCUCUCUCUCUCUCUCUCUGCUUCUGGGUAGCGCAGCAAGUGAGCAGUGUUUGUUGGAGGGCAGGAACGUGCUGGAGGAAGCACCCUGAUGCUGUGUGUCUGAUGGUGCAGUUGGGGACAGGUGUGGUCUUUUCAGAAGCUUAAGGAUAGAGGGGCCUAGCAAGCUCGUUCAGUGCCCAGGGUAGGGGUGUAUGCCAACUAGUGUUGUGGGGGGAGUCUUGCCUGCUGCUGCUGUAGCCGUUGCAUUGGCAGCAGCUGCAGAGAUGGAGAGAGUCUGGUGGCUGCAGCCCCGUGUUGCAAGCUCCCCGGGGUCCUAUUUGCUCCCAACCUAGAUAUGCUGCUGGGCUCAGGGCUGUGCCUGCCGAUGUCAUGAGAGCAUCUUGCCACUCACUCCCUGCCCACCACAUGCACUGCUGGGUGCGGAGCCAUCCCCCACCCCCUGGUUACUACUUCACUCUGGCUGUGUUUGUAAAACAUAACAUUUGUAGCUUUGUGAGUCUGUAGCUAGAAAAUAAUUGGAAUAUGAGACAAUGGGAGAAAAAUGAAGAGAAUGAGUUCUCCCUGAGAGCUGCAAUGAAAUCUGUCAGGCUAGUGAGAGACCGCAGAGACAUGGUGAGUAUUUGUCUCCUUUGUGCUUCCAGUGCUGAUAUAGCAACAGUGGAUAAAAACAGCCCUGUGUUGGGUAGAGCCACAAACUCCUCAUUUCCCUGCUGAGUGGCCUGGCGGUCACUCUGCAGCAGACGAGGCUGAUACAGGACCUUGUCUUGGCAGCUUUCCCAAGCCCUUUCCAAAGGUGGUAAUUCAGCCUCUGGGCUGAUCAGGUAGGUACAAACAGACAGGUAAAGUGAGGCACAGGGCUUGAGGACAUGGUUCUGGCACUCUGAAGGAGGGGUGCUCUUCAACAUGUGCUGCCCACCUGUUGCUAUUGACAUGCACUGAGCCUGGAAACAUUGCCACGAAGCCGCUCUGGGGAGGUCCUCCCAGGGAGACGAGCCCUAGGUGACUUGUCCGAGUCUGUGGCAGCAGUAGGACUGUUCUGAUGCCCAGGCCACGUGCAUCCGUGCAUUGACCUUUCUACCUUUUCCACUGCAGUGUCCGAGUUUGGGCUGGGACUGCGGCAUAAAGCAAUGCAAUGCUGCGCUGCCAUGAUUGUUCCAGGGUCUGGGGAUUCCUGUCUGCCUCAGAGGGACCUGAUGGUAAAUGAGAAGCUGCUUUGGUGAGGGAUGAGCUCCUGCAGCUACAGCAGGCAGAGCGAAGGCCUCCUGCGGCUCCAACGCUGCCGGCCAGCACUGUGGCAGAGCUGUGCCCUGGCUCUUCCCAGACCUAGUUACAAAUAUCUCAGAGUCUGCUAAUGAGGAGCUUGGGGGAUUGGUUUGACUGAAGGCCAAGUCCCACGCUCAGAAAUCAGCAGGGGUCCAGGAAUGAAGCAGAGGCCCCUGCUCCGUGAUGCUGGGCAGAUGCCUGAUGGAGGGGAGCCCUUCAACCAGGUGUUCUAGGAAAACUGGGCAGUGCGCCUCUGCCGUUCCUAUCCAGGUCCAUGCAGAGACCUCUCUGGCUCUGGCCCGUUUGAAAGCACGGCCUUCAGUGUGCGCCAAAUAUUUAGACGGGGGGAGUUUGUGCUUCUUAAUGGGCCUUUUAGAAGAAAUUCCACCAGCCUUCCUGUUGCAGGAGAAGCCAAGGAGGGAGAUGCUGCUGUAUCAGAAGAUCCAUAUAUGGCUGUGAUUGCCCAACUCCUCAUGUUUUGCAGAAUACUAUGGUCCUAUCCACUUUUAAGGUUAUAUGUGAACAUUUCUCCUUUCCUGUUGGCAUCAGCACUCAGGAAUGCAGCCUACAAAAUACAAAAAAGUAUUGAUUCAAGUUGUCAGCUUUAUGCAUUGUGUCAGUUUUUUUAAUGGCAGCCAUGAGGCUCUUUCUUCUUUGCUACCACCAUGCAAUGUGUUAAAGUGAAAAGACAGCACAGUAUUUGGGCUAAAAUGUCAGUGUUGUAUAUAAAUAGCAAUAUACUCUGAGUGCUGGAUUGCCCUCGUCCGUGAAAGGUGCCUGGGCUCAGACAGCAGUAAUUGUCAGGGAAUUUCACCCUCGUUGAGGACUGCCUUGUCAGCUCUUUGCUGUGGGUGUUGGACUGCUGUUGAAUUAUUGCUAUUCCAAUCCUAGGCUCUUAACAUCACUUUCCUAGCGCAUGUCAGUGCCUUCCUCCCUUUCCUGUGCAAACUGCUUGCUAUCAAACAGUAUUUCCAGGCCCUCCCUACAGUCCCCCCUGUUGUCUGAGUCUUGGGUCCUACCUUGGCACCUCAGUCCUGGGCUGUAGUCUCCCCUGUUAUUCCAAAAGUGCCUGUUGCAGCAGUGUUACACGGGCACCUCCUUUACAGCAUCCCUGCUAGUCUAGUUGAGGAUCACACAUAUAUCUGUACCCAGACACCGCAUACCUGCCUAGCUGUACUCUCUUCUGCUCCCAAUAUACCUGCGUCCAUGUAUUUCACUCCACUGCCUGUCCUCUUUGUUCUAUUCUGUGUUGGCAAUGUUUUAAUGCAAUAUUUUAUAGUAAAUGGCUAAAUAUGCUCUUUUUUGUUACAACGCCAACUCAAAUGUGGGUGAGGUAGAACAGGGAAGAGGAAUAUCAAAUGCAGAGUUGCUUAUCUUUCUGUUUUUCCAAAUAAUGAACAGAAAACAUUGACCUUUUCAGGAGCAAAACAUUUGUGUUUGUGAACUAAAGUAUGAAAGCACAAACAUUGGUGAGUUGAUUUUUUUUGUGUAUAUUUGAGCAGGUUAAAAGCACUGUUUAUUCAGAAUGUAUUGGCCUGGGUUUGAGCAACAAAUGCAGAAGAGAGACUGGAAGCAGUCAUGCAAGGUGUGCGGAUAGAGCUCAACUUGCUGGGUCUGUAGAGAGAGUAUCAUAUUGUCUUGCACACUGGCCACCCCCAAAUAAGACAUGCACUUUGUUUGUUGGGAAAGGAGGAUGAAGAAAAAAAGAUUUGUCCAGAGUUAUGGCUGCAUAGACAGAGCCUCACUCACCCUCCCUUUCCUGCUAAACUGAAAGCUGUAACCCUCGCUGUAGCUGAAGACUGGUCUCCGUGGGUGACUACAAAUUUGAAAAGAGCUAAAAACAAUCUGUAGUGCUGUAAAAUAGGAGGAGCAGGACCAGGAGUAGCUAGUAGACAGUAAAAUUGCUGGAAAAAAAAGGUUAGCUUGAUGGGUGAAACAUCAAGACUGUAAGGGGACAUGGUUGUUAACACCUAUGGAGUGAAGAACAUUGAGUCAUUUGACUGCUUCAGGGACCUGAAUAGAAAGGCCACAAGGGAUCAAAGCAGGGUGCUUCAUUCUGGGCAGAAAAUCAGCUUCCCCACUUAUGGGCUGCACCACAAUUUUGGGGAGCUGAUUUGGGUGGAAGAUGUAUAUGGUGUGUGAUUAAAUAUGGCAGUUACAUGUUGGGGCAGGACUUGGGUGUUGCAGGUGCUCCUGGCCUGGAGGAGAGCAGCCUUUGAGACCACCCUGGAGCAGUGUCCCGGUGAGCGAGCUGUUGGGCGUGCGGGGAUCACUGUACAACUAAGAGCUCUGGAGCUGUGCAAACAGGAUGGCUAGUACCUGGGUUGGCCAUGCUGCUGACCAAGCAAAAUGGAUAAGGGUGAGUCGGAGAAAAUAUUUAGGAGACAGCUGUAGUGUUUCUCGUUCAGGUUUUCCCCUUGCCCUCUGCAAGGGAUGUUUGUGGUUCUGUGAUCCCAGAGCACUGCCGGCCCUGGAUGUGGCCCGGGCUCAACCCAUUUUAUUGGCUCGCACCUGGCUCUUGUUGCUGCUUGUACCUGGCAGAGGGGCUGUAUUCUAGUGCAGACUGGGAUGCUAUUUUGGGCAUGGGUUGCAGGCCCUUCCUUGACAUGAAGAGCCUUGUGUCCAGCUCUCCACUGUGGCUAGCGCCGGGUCAGUCACCACGGGCUGCAGACUCCUGCCAAACUCCCUUCGCCACCCUACAGCUGGCUGCGUGCAGCCCCUCCGGAUGCAGCACCUGCUGUCCUUGCAGACCCUGCUUCUCACUCUGACAAGUCCUUCCCAGGCUGUGCUCAAAGGUCCUGCUCCUGGGCAGAAAGAGAAGGGGACAACUUUCCUCGCUCCUUGGGGAAGCCAUGAGGACGUUCCCCAGGGCUCGGAGAUAAAUCCCAGCCCCAGCAGUGGGGAUGCAGAGAAGAGACUUGCUAAGGAAUGUGUGCCUCCAUGCCGGCAGGCUGUCUCUGUGGCAGGAGCUAGGGGUAAGCACAGGCUGCACUUAGACAUAACUUGCUGGUUAGUGCCACCAGCCUGUCUGGCCCAUUGCCCCUCACUGGGGUUAAUACACUGGGCUCCCUUUGUGCUGCUCACAUUCAGGCACAUGGCCAGGCCUGUGGCCUGCGUUACCUGUUUCUUUGCUGGGCUGCCUUGCUGGUUUGUCAAAAAUCGAUCGGGCUCCGCGUAGCUCUCGCAUUCUUCCUCGGGCCCCAGGUCUCAGCUGCCAAACAUUUAUUCCCACAGUCGCUUCUGUUCUUUCUUCUCAUCAGACAUGCCCAGCCCUCGUUCGGGGUGGUUUUAGGAAAAUUACAAUGCCCUAUUUUUCACAAGAGAGAUUUCUUUUAGCAGACAGGAGAGGUGUUUCCUGUCUCCCUAGUGAGGUCUGUGGUCUCUUUAACCUAGUCUGGACAGAGCAGUGGCACAGGUUUAACCUAAGCCAGAUGUUUAAACUAGAUCUGUUCAGCCAAUUCAAACCACUCCUAUUGGGGUUUAAUAGCAGCUGAUCGAUUAACUUAAACUAACAUAAAAUCAUACAUGGUAUGAAAACUGAGGCAGACGUGUCAUUCAGACAAAGGUUGUGCACCAGGUCCUGUAGCAUCAUUAAAGUCCUUUAAGGAGGACUGCACUGGUGCUAUUUUCAGAGCCUAUUAUUACGGCUCCCUUAGCACCAAGAGAGCUUUAGCGCAGGAAAUGACUUUCAUAAUUUCUUUAGUGCCAAAUGCUCUGUAAUUUUCCUAUGGCUAUUUCUUUUUUGUUUGUGAAACACAACCUUUGGAAAGCACCCGCAGUUUAAGUUUCUGCCAAACUAUAAUGAAUCACAUUGUCUAAGCAGACUCUGUCAACUCGAUUUGUUUGACAUUUGGUAUGUUAACAAAAAUGCAAUUGCAAGGAAGUUUCUAAGAACAGCUAGAUGGGCAGCGUUUCAAGUCGCCUGUACGCUGGAGCAGCUGCAGCACAGUAUCGCUGGAGCCUUUUCUCAGUGGAUGUCUCGUAUACUAGCAUCUUUGGCCAUGUAUAGAUGUUAUGUUUUUCUAGGUUUAAUCCAGACUGCAGCUGUCACUAUAUACAUGUGGAUAUCUGUAGUCUGAAUUAAAAUUGCAUCCAGUCUGAAUGAACUAAUUCUCACUGAAAGAGGAUUAAAGUUAAUGCAGACUAGGGCAGUCCAAACUAGGCACUUUAAACUGUAUUAAUUAACAUGUAUAUAUGGCAGGUAUCUAGGGCUUACUGUUGUUCGUGCCCCCCACCAGGUGUAGAACUAGACACCCCUUGCCGUCUCUAUUGCAGAAGUACAGAAGUGCAAGAAAACCUCCCCAGUGAUCAGUGACCUUCUAUUAACCCUUAAUUCAACUUGAAAUGUGAUUCAAAUGGAGUAGCAUGAAUUAGUUAACACGGUUUAGAAAAUGGUGAGCAUGUCUACAAACAGCUGUUGUCUCUUAGUGAUCUCAAUCAAAUACACGCAGUUAGCUUGUUUUUUGGCUUUCCGGCGUAUGGGGCAGAACAGGGCUGCUAGCGUGGACUACAAACAGUGUUAAAAGUGUUGUCAUCUUGACUGCCACCCUAAUGGCAAGGCCUUUAAGUCUUGCUGUAAUUGUGCUGGUACUGUUAGCUUUGAUUUAGCGAGGGGUGGUGAGGCCUAGUGGGUAGGAGUGUUGUACUAAAUUUAGUUAAGGGAUGGGGUGAAUGGAAACGAAUCAAUCUGUGAGACUAUUCUGGUCUCAAAUCCUAAUUUAUUGAACACAAGCAAUAUCAAUAUUUAAGCAAGGCUUUAAAUACAGCACUUAACUUCCUAGCAAGCCAUAACAGUCAGCAAAGAUAUUCCCAUGCAAGCCGUCCAGUGGCCAAAAUGAGUUGAGCUGGCCAGGCGUCCAUCACUGCACCGGGGUUUGGUACUUGUUGCAGCUUCUCCUGUGUGUUGCUCUCCCCCUAAUUUAAAGUUUUAUUUUCCUUGGUUUUAUAUACUUCUUUUAUAGUUCUCGUCUGUAUGUCCCAGAUACGGUUGUGUCAUAAAUAUCCACCAAUUAUCUUUCCCAGUGGUCAUUUUCCUGUUAGGUUGCUCUCUUGGACUGCUAACCCACAUCCUCUUUUAACUCUUGGUGGCACAAGCUAUAAAAAGGUCACCCUAAACUGUCACCCAGUGGCUUUUGCGUUUAAUUAGUGGCGUUCGUUAUGUCAGGGCACAUGAUGGUGUUGCUUAUGCUAAGUGUUUUGCUGAGGUGGCUUGCAGGCCUACAAGAGAAGUAGCCUCCAUGUCAGGAGGCCUGGGUUCGAUUUUUGACUGUGCAGCUCAUCUCCCAGGAGCCUUUGACCAGCUGACUUCACUUCUCUCCUCCUGGUAUGGUAGAGGGGGCCAGGCAAAGCACUGCUUACUGGAUAGUAGGUGAGGAGUCGUGUCCUUAAAAUCAGGUGCUUUAGCCUUGUCACAGAAUCGGGGCCCUUGCUGAUAAUGGUUGCAUUCUGGGUCACAAGGGUUUGAACGCCCAUCCACUGUCUUAAUUAGUUAGAGAUUUCUUAGUAUUGUAAUUGCUUUUGAAUUAAUAUUUAUUUAAUAUUAAAAUGUGGCUGCUAGCGCACAAAUGCUUUUUGUCAUUGUAUUUAUACCUGUAUCACCCCCCCCCAUAGUAUAAUAUUAUUUUCAUGCUUUUUGUUAUAAAUUGGUGAGCGAACCUCUUGAUGCCUAAGAUCCAGACACGCACACGUGAGGGCAGGCCGGGCACAGCUCCUGGGUCCCAAUCCUGCCACUUGCUCCAUGGGGGUGCAGAGCGCUGCUGAGGGAGAGCCCCAGGCAGGAGCCCUUCUGUACUGGAUGUCUCUACUUAGACAUGAGCUGCUGCCACCUGUGCGUAGCUCUGUCCCAAGGGUUUUGAUGCAUGUCCCGCAAGUCCCCAGUCGCAGGACUGUUGUUCCUCUCCUGCUUGUGCUGCUUGUCUCAGCCAUUCGAUCCAGCCGAAUUGGAUUUCCCACAGCCUCCAGCUUUUCAUGCGGCUCUGAUUCAGGCGGAAGACCGAGUGGAAUGUGAUUUGUCUCACUUCAAAACCUCCUCUAAUAAAAUAUUUAUUUGACACCUGCUA